AGCGGUCAUAGCUCAGUGGAAUAGCAUCUGCCUUGCAAGCAGAAGCUCCCAGGUUUCAACCCCUAUGGCAUUGCCA